GAUGAAGAACGCAGCGAAAUGCGAUAACUAAUGUGAAUUGCAGAAUUCCGUGAAUCAUCGAGUCUUUGAACGCACAUUGCGCCCCCUGGUAUUCCGGGGGGCAUGCCUGUCCGAGCGUCAUUACAACCCUCAAGCCCGGCUUGUGUAAUGGGCGGCCGUCUCUCCCCCCGGGGGGAGACGCCCCCGAAACUCAGUGGGGAUGUCGCGAUACCGGAGCCUCAGCUAAUGGGUAAACCACCGCUGCAAUGGCCGCGGCCGGCGUCCGCCUUCCACGGUCCGUCCGCCUAGCGCGGGCGGCCUUCUCAAGGUUGACCUCGGAUCAGGUAGGGAUACCCGCUGAACUUAAGCAUAUCAAUAAGCGGAGGA
rnacentral:misc_RNA from 1 species